GGAAGGCAAGUAGUAAAUCAGAAAACCUUUCGACCGUUGAGAGAGCUGAAAAAACUAUAGAGAAUCUGGAAAAGUGUGAAAACAAUGUGAGGGAAAUGGCUGAAAAUGUUGAUGAUUGUAUCAGAAACCUGUGACAACAGAACUAUGACAACCUCCACAUGUGAUGGCCUUUACACAGCUUCUUGUGACUUUAUAAGAUUGCCCUUCUGAAAUCCUAUUCCCACAAUGUUGAUGAUUGUGUCAAAAACCUGGGACCAAACAUUCAUUUCAUCAAGAUGGGAGAGUUCAUAGAUAGUGGGAAAACUACUCUUGUCAUUAUAACAAACAUAACUCUACUGGGCAUUACAACAAACAGAUGGAAGACAACUCAAUAAUGGUACUUAAAAUGAAAGUAAAAAUUUUGUAAAGGGGCUUUUUUUGGUGGAGCCAGGGGAAGGCUAUUAAUGGUGGUGGUGGUGAUGGCAAGGUGGUGUUCUUGAUGGGGGAGAAGAUGAGGCAAUAGUAGUUCGGGGUCUUGGUCGACGGCAAAGGCGAGGGGAUAAGAGGCAGAGAACUCACCUACACAAAAGUUGGCGAGUGGAGAUAGGAGGUGGUGGCUAGAUCUGGGCUUUCGAGGUUAAGUGCAACAAUGGGGGCACGAAGGGAGAAUUCGACGAUCUUGGAGGAAAAAAGGACCUUUGGAGGAUUUUUUUUCCCCCCCUAUAGGCUUUGCCACUUCCCAUCGUUCCAUCCUCCCUGGGUUCAACCAGCCAAAAGGUGUCAAGGAAUGAA
rnacentral:lncRNA from 1 species